rnacentral:SRP_RNA from 1 species
GCCGGGCGUUGUGGUGGGCACCUGUAGUCCCAGCUACUUGGGAGGCUGAGGCAGGAGACUUGCUUGAGCCCAGGAGUUGGAGGUUGCUGUGAGCUGUGAUGCCAUGGUAUUCUACCCAGGGGGACAGCUUGAGGCUCUGUCUCAAAAAAAAAAAAAAAAAGAACAUCUGGGCUGAUUUAAGUUUUUUCUUUUCUUUUUUUUUUUUUUUUUUUUUGAGAGUCUCACUUUGUCGCCCUUGGUAGAGUGCCAUGGCGUCAUAGCUCACAGCAACUUCAAACUCCUGGGCUCAAGCGAUUCUCUUGCCUCAA